UUCCUAACAGCUUGAAAGAUGAUUUUUGUGUCUUAAUUAAAAGAUUGAAGACUGUGGGUCAGACCCAAACUAAUUCCAUUGGCAUCAAAGAAAAGGAUUCUUUACAUAUUUAUCUAUAGGCACAAUUAAUUUUUUUAUUUUUUGCUGAAUUAUCUGGUUAGUCAAAUCAUACAUUAGAGAAGUAAUAUUAAAAAUUAAAAAAUGUAUCUGUAAACAUAUCCCCCUUCCAUUCCAGUCUUUGUCUCUGUGUAAUUUUAGAACCUUGGGCCAUGAUGUACAUAGAGUUUAUAUUCUUUUAAUAUCUUGCUACUUCAUUGUUUUCAUGUUUAAUCUUUGGGUUGAUGUAUCACAGGUUACUUGACCGUUUCUUACAGGUGUUUGGUUUAGUUUUUUUUUUUCCCUUAACGCUAAUGUAAAUUUGAGUGUUUGGAUGGUAGUUUUAGCAGAAUUUAAGGCAGAGUCUCAGUUAGGGUGAUGGAUCGAUUUAUAGUCCCUAGUUUGAGGAGGGAGGUGGCAAUAUGCCCUUUCUUCUAAAAUUGAUAUGUUAAAUCACAAUGGACAUUUACAUGAUUUUGAGCACUUGGGACUCCCCUGGGGUUCACUGGUAUUGCACGGUCAGGGCUGGGGAUCUUCUGCUGGAGAGGCCCCCAGCGUGCCCAGCGCAGGGUCCUGAGUGUGUUGCUGCAGGACAAGCUCUGGGCUUUGCCCUGCAGCGGCCGUCGCUCUGGGAAGAGCUGGCUGCUCCAGGAAUGAGGCCUAUGCUCUGAAGCUCACAUUCAGCAGACCAGCAAAGGUCAGCACAGAUGACCUUAUAUGAAUCAUUCAUUUAACAAGCAUUCAUGGAAUACACAUUCCAUGCAGUUGGAACUUAGAGUGGAAGGCCAUCAGUUCACUGUUGUCUCAGCAGAACUUUGUCCCUGGGUCCCUGUUGAACUUAGAGUGGAAGGCCAUCUGCUCACUAUUGUCUGAGCAGAGCUUGGUCCCUGGGUCCCUGUUGAACUUAGAGUGGAAGGCCAUCAGCUCACUGUUGUCUGAGCAGAGCUUGGUCUCUGGCUCCCUUUUGUAGCCUCCGCUCCUAGGAGGUGCACGGUGAGUGUUGGGGGACCCUCCACAGGCACAAUUGCUGAACAAGGACCCCUCCCAAGGGUGUCAGCCCUAGGCCCUGAGCUCUGAAGAGGAGGAAGGCAUUCCUGGGGCCAUCUCCCCUUCUGGAUACUGAGCUCUGCACAGAGAGAAACUCUUCCACAUUCACUGCAGUGAAGUUCAUACUUUAGAGACUGGGGCCUGCAUUCCCCAGAAUUUCCAUGGCCACAGGUGGUGGCUGCACCAUGCGACUGGAGUCUGUGUUCCCCAGGAUUUCUGUGACCACAGGUGGUAGCUGCACCAUGCGACUGGAGUCUGUGUUCCCCAGGAUUUCUGUGACCACAGGUGGUAGCUGUACCAUGUGACUGAGGGUCUGCGUUCCCCUGAAUUUCCGUGGCCAUAGGUGGUGGCUGUACCAUGGGAAUGAGGGUCUCUGUUCUCUGGAAUUUCCAUGGCCAUAGGUAGUGGCUGUACCAUGCGACUGGGGUCUGCGUUCUCCAGAAUUUCUGUGGCUGCAGGCUGUGGCUGCACCAUGCGACUGGGGUAUGCAUUCCUCGGAAUUUCCGUGGCCAUAUAUGGUGGCUGUACCAUGUGACUGAGGGUCUGCAUUCCUUGGAAUUUCCAUGGCCAUAGAUAGUGGCUGUACCAUGUGUCUGAGGGUCUGCGUUCUCUGGAAUUUCUGUGGCUGCAGAUAGUGGCUGUACCAUGUGACUGAGGGUCUGCAUUCCUGGAAUUUCUGUGGUCGCACAUGGUGGCUG